CCUACGGGGUGCAGCAGUGGGGAAUAUUGGACAAUGGGCGAAAGCCUGAUCCAGCCAUGCCGCGUGUGUGAAGAAGGCCUUCGGGUUGUAAAGCACUUUCAGUGGGGAAGAAAGCCUUGGGGCUAAUACCCUCGAGGAAGGACAUCACCCACAGAAGAAGCACCGGCUAACUCCGUGCCAGCAGCCGCGGUAAUACGGAGGGUGCGAGCGUUAAUCGGAAUUACUGGGCGUAAAGCGCGCGUAGGCGGUCUGAUAAGCCGGUUGUGAAAGCCCCGGGCUCAACCUGGGAACGGCAUCCGGAACUGUCAGGCUAGAGUGCAGGAGAGGAAGGUAGAAUUCCCGGUGUAGCGGUGAACUGCGUAGCGAUCGGGAGGAAUACCAGUGGCGAAGGCGGCCUUCUGGACUGACACUGACGCUGAGGUGCGAAAGCGUGGGUAGCAAACAGGAUUAGAUACCCCGGUAGUC
rnacentral:rRNA from 1 species